rnacentral:rRNA from 1 species
AGUGAACGCUGGCGGUAGGCCUAACACAUGCCAGUCGAACGGCAGCACAGUAAGAGCUUGCUCUUACGGGUGGCGAGUGGCGGACGGGUGAGGAAUACAUCGGAAUCUACUUUUUCGUGGGGGAUAACGUAGGGAAACUUACGCUAAUACCGCAUACGACCUACGGGUGAAAGCAGGGGACCUUCGGACCUUGCGCGAUUGAAUGAGCCGAUGUCGGAUUAGCUAGUUGGCGGGGUAAAGGCCCACCAAGGCGACGAUCCGUAGCUGGUCUGAGAGGAUGAUCAGCCACACUGGAACUGAGACACGGUCCAGACUCCUACGGGAGGCAGCAGUGGGGAAUAUUGGACAAUGGGCGCAAGCCUGAUCCAGCCAUACCGCGUGGGUGAAGAAGGCCUUCGGGUUGUAAAGCCCUUUUGUUAGGAAAGAAAAGCAGCAGGUUAAUACCCCGCUGUUCUGACGGUACCCAAAGAAUAAGCACCGGCUAACUUCGUG